rfam:Gossypium arboreum cultivar AKA8401 contig_7265_5, whole genome shotgun sequence.
AACCCAUGAUGAGAACACAUUCUCAAAAGAUCCUUAAAUUUCUCUCAUGCAUCAUAAUGUCUCCAUAUCAAAUUGAGAAAAAGAAGAGAUGUUGUUUCUCAACUU